UUACGGCCAUAUCGCGUUAAAACAUUGGUUUCACUAAAUCACCGAAGUUAAGCAAUGUCAAGCCUGGUCAGUACCUAGAUGGGUGACUGCUUGGGAAUACCAGAAGCUGUAA